GAAAGGAAAGAAAGGAAAGAAAGAAAGGAAAGAAAGGAAAGAAAAGGAAGGAAGGAAGGAAGGAAGGGAAAAGAAAAGAAAAGAAAAGAAAGAAGGAAGAGAUCAAAUAACCUCAGUUGACAAUUCAAGGAAGUAGAAAAAGAAAAAAUGAGGCACAAAGUUAACAGAAAUAAAGAAGUAAUAUCAAAGAAUAAAUAGCAUAGACAAUAGAAAGGAAAAGGAUAAAGAUCAACAAAAUUAAGCAUGCGUUUCUUGUAAAGCAAAACAAAAUUUACAAACCUUUGACCAGACUAGCCAAGAAAAAAAGAGAGGAGACUCAUGUAAAAUUAUAAAUGAAAGAGGAGACAUUACAACUGAAAUACUCAGGACCAUAAGAAACUAGUAUGAACAAUUAUACUCUGACAAACUGGAUAAUCUGGAAGAAAUGAAUAAAUUUCUGGCGACAUAUAACCUGUCAAGGAGGAAACGUGAAGAAAUAGAAAAUUCGGACAGACCAAUAUCAAGAGGACUGGGGGGAAAAAGGAAGAUGCCAGCCUGACCAAGUGGCCAAGAGCCCACAGAACAGGUCUGUGAAUCACAAAAUACAAAGCACAAAGAAUCUUCCAGAGUCUAAGUACAGCUACAGAUGAGCAGUAAUUUAGCACUGCUUUUGCCAUUAUUACAUCCUUGACACCUCACUGACUUAGAAUAAGCCCCCAAUGUGGGUGCUCAUGUGAAGGUGGCUGAUACCAGUUUCAGUCCUAAGAGUCUACACGCCUCUCAGAAACAGAAUAGAAAUCACGAAUGAUUACAAAUUACAUCCAGGUCACACAGAAGAUUCCACAGCUUUCUUAGUGUACAACAUCAAAGAACAGAACAUGGAUAAAGUGAAGACCCCUAUGCAUAUACUAAAGUUCUAAGUACUCCAGUAAAGCUUUCAUCUUAACACCUCAACAUCUAUUCUUUUUAAAUAAAUUCAUUUCUGUAAC